AUUAUUUUAGCGUGAUGAUGGUGGUGGCUGGCGGGAACAACGUGGUGGCUGGAAGGAACGUGGUGUGGCAAAUGACGACAACGACACCGGAGGCAGACAAUAUGUGGCGGCAGCGUGGUGGUGGCAACGUGGUGGAUGAAAACACUUACCUUAAAUUUUUGAUGCAUGAAACGACGUGAUGGCAGCAGGCGACGGGCGGACGGCGGCAAAUGGGAAAUCGAACAAAUCUCCUAUAUAUAUGAUAAAAAACAAAUUAUUUAACAAAAUAAAUGUGUACUUUUAAUAAAUAAAUGCUUUUAAAUAAUAAA